GUUUCAGCUGCCACUUCAGUGAUGGAUUUGUAAAUAUUUGUUGCUCUUUUCUCCCGAGGCGUGCUGUGUGCUCGCUCCCUGGGAAGCAGGAUUGUUUGGCCAUUUCACAGAGAGGGAGCCUGAGGGCCUGGAAACUGAAGGCCCAAAGUCAUGAAGGAAACCUGGGGAAGAGCCAGGAUGACGAUGAAGAUCUCUCGAGUCCAAGGGCUUUUUCCAUUCUUUGGAUCAAACACGUGCAGGCAGAACCAAGCUUUUUGAUUGGCUGGAAAAAGGGGCCGAUGCGGGUGGACUUCUGAGCGGUGUUGUGAGCACGCAGGUCUCAGACUGUUUCUGCGGGGCUGAAGGGAAUGACUUC
rnacentral:lncRNA from 1 species